rnacentral:rRNA from 1 species
GGCCUCAUACAUGCAAGUCGAGCGGUCCUUCGGGACAGCGGCGAACGGGUUAGUAACGCGUGGGAACGUGCCCUUUAGUACGGAAUAGCCAUUGGAAACGAUGAUUAAUACCGUAUACGCCCAAGGGGGAAAGAUUUAUCGCUAAAGGAUCGGCCCGCGUUAGAUUAGGCAGUUGGUAGGGUAAUGGCCUACCAAGCCGACGAUCUAUAGCUGGUUUGAGAGGAUGAUCAGCAACACUGGGACUGAGACACGGCCCAGACUUCUACGGAAGGCAGCAGUAGGGAAUCUUGGACAAUGGGCGAAAGCCUGAUCCAGCCAUGCCGCGUGAGUGAUGAAGGCCCUAGGGUUGUAAAGCUCUUUCGCCAGGGAAGAUAAUGACGGUACCUGGUAAAGAAACCCCGGCUAACUCCGUGCCAGCAGCCGCGGUAAUACGGAGGGGGUUAGCGUUGUUCGGAAUUACUGGGCGUAAAGCGCACGUAGGCGGAUUAAUAAGUCAGGGGUGAAAUCCCGAGGCUCAACCUCGGAACUGCCUUUGAUACUGUUAGUCUUGAGUUCGAGAGAGGUGAGUGGAAUUCCGAG